rnacentral:misc_RNA from 1 species
UCUCCGUAGGUGAACCUGCGGAGGGAUCAUUACUGAGUGAGGGUUUAACCGCCCGACCUCCAACCCCAUGUGAACCGAAACCUGUUGCUUCGGGGGCGACCCUGCCGUUCGGCGCGGCGCCCCCGGGGUCAAUCAAACACUGCAUUCUCUGCGUCGGAGUAUUAGUAAAUCUAAUCAAAACUUUCAACAACGGAUCUCUUGGUUCUGGCAUCGAUGAAGAACGCAGC